UUAGUACACACACACACCGUUCUAACUGGGCGGGUUAGUACACACACACACCCUUCUAACUGAGCGGGUUAGUACACACACCCUUCUAACUGGGCAGGUUAGUACACACACACACCCUUCUAACUGGGCGGGUUAGUACACACACACACCCUUCUAACUGGGCGGGUUAGUACACACACCCUUCUAACUGGACAGGUUAGUACACACUCCCUUCUAACUGGACAGGUUAGUACACACACCCUUCUAACUGAACAGGUUAGUACACACACCCUUCUAACUGGGCGGGUUAGUACACACACACACACCCUUCUAACCGGGCGGGUUAGUACACACACACACACCCUUCUAACUGGGUAG
rnacentral:lncRNA from 1 species